UACAGAGGGUGCGAGCGUUAAUCGGAAUUACUGGGCGUAAAGCGUGCGUAGACGGUCAUGUAAGUCGGAUGUGAAAGCCCCGGGCUCAACCUGGGAAUUGCAUUCGAGACUGCAUGGCUUGGGUGCGGAAGAGGGAAGCGGAAUUUCCGGUGUAGCGGUGAAAUGCGUAGAUAUCGGAAGGAACACCAGUGGCGAAAGCGGCUUCCUGGUCCGACACCGACGUUCAGGCACGAAAGCGUGGGGAGCAAACGGG
rnacentral:rRNA from 1 species